GUAUCCUGGCUCAGAUUGAACGCUGGCGGCAUGCUUUACACAUGCAAGUCGAACGGCAGCACGGAGAGCUUGUCUCUCUGGUGGCGAGUGGCGCACGGGUGAGUAAUACAUCGGAACGUGGUCCUGUUGUGGGGGACAACCGGUCGAAGACCGGCUAAUACCGCACUAAGACCUGAGGGUGAAAGCGGGGGAUCGGACAAGACCUCGCGCAAUUGGAGCGGCCGAUGCCCGAUUAGCUUAGG
rnacentral:rRNA from 1 species